GCUAGAAGAUUGGAACCCUAGGGCUGCCUCGCCUGCCGGCGUCCCUGGGCCGCUGGCCCACCUCCGACCUCUCCCGCUCGACGGCGGUAUGGUUCGUCAAGACUCGGCUGUCUCAGCUCCGACAAUCGGCAUGGCCACGUGCGGCUACUACACCUCAUGGUGUGCCGCCGCUGGGACAUGGAGGAGGCCGCCCUGCUGCUCUCCCACCAUUGAACAAGGAGAAGGUCGUCGGAGCAAGACGAGAUCCCAGCAGCUUCCGCGCACGGUAGGCUUGCAGGAGACACCGAGGAGCAGACAUGUUUCUUCCAUUCGCAGGCAAGGGGUUCGAGGCAGAGAUGCCACCGGCUGCAGUCACGUGCGUCGCCGGCCGGAAUCCAGCCGCCGCCGACCAGAAUCUUGCAACCACUGCCCGGAAACCAGCCGCUGCCACCUGGAAUCGGGCCGCCUCAGCCUGGAUUCGCCCUUCCCCAGACCUCUAGACUUUAGAUCUGCCGCCGCCGUCGCCCUUUCUCCUGUCUUACCUCCUAUCCUACUACCCAGCUGUGCUGCCGCCUCCUUUUCUAAGUUGAUUUCUUUGUUGCAGCGAUCGAGGAGGGUGAUUGCAUCGACAAGGCUGCUUGCUCAGUUAGGCUCCGUUCCACCACGUUUUCCAUCAGCGACGACUUCGUUCCGGUCAUUCUUCAGCCUACAUUAGAUUCCCACCCCAAUUUCCCAAGCAAUGGCUAUCCGUUCUGCUUAUGGAGUUUUGGUUGUUGCUGGGCCGCCUGGCCACUUCACCCCAUGGUUCUGCCGCCAUCAUGAUGCUACUGUCAUCGGCGAUUGAUGUCUAUUUGGUCAUUGGUGAUCUGUAUCUUCUCCGUUAAAAAAAAGAGAUCUGCGCCUUCAUCCAGAUCAGAAAAAGGAAACAUGCAGACUUUGUUGGUCAAGGACGUGAUCCCCAAAUUUUAUCAAUGCAAAAUCCACACAUGUAUUGGCCCUAUCUGCGAUAAUAGGAUAUCCAAACACAACAAAACAUAUACCAGCUGGGCCUUAUUGUCGUAGACCAUGAGCAUGAGGUGAUGUUCUGUCCUUCUCAGAAUUUAAAUUUAUGGUUUCUCUUUUUUUUUUUUGAUAAAUACAUUACAUUGCCUCGGCUUAUUUGUUUCUCCUUGUGUGGACAAUGUUUUACCUUUCAAUAUUGUCAGCAAGUAACUUCCACGAAUUCUCAUACACUUCUAUUUCUACCUUCCUAAAUUACACAUUACUCAAAGCAUUAGUAUUCUUUUCUUACAAAUUACUUUAGUGCCAAUUUUUUUAAAAUGAUCACCUCCGGCAAGACACAGUUUAGAUCUUUGUUAUUCUCCACUGUUGUUUUCAGAUUUUUCACGUUUAUGCCCUGCUCUCUCUCUCUCUCUCUCUCUUAUGUCCUAAAUUCUUUUGUGUUGCUUAUAACCUUUCUUACAAAUUAAUGAACAAAGCCUCCUUCCUUGUGACAAGCUCUGGAAACCAGAAAAAAUGGUACUGCAUUUUCUGAUGGACUUUCUUAUCAUCUAGGGGCCAUGUCCAAAUUGGAAAUACUGAAAACUCUUCCUUUUUCGAGACGAUACUGCAAACACUAUCAAGGGAACCAAGUAUGUCCCUUUAAUUACCAUGGUUGAGAUUGCAGAGUGUAGAAAAUGUAGAUGUAUACGAGUGCUGCAGCAUACAGAAGCAGAUGGUGCUCCUUCCUUACAGCACAUGCAUUGCUUCUCGCUCCUCUCUCUCUCACACACACACGGUUGGUCGUUCUGCUCCUUUCUCUCUCUGCUGUAGAGAAAUCUGUGCAUAGAAAUUCGUUUGAUCAUAAAACUACUAUGACGCCUAGAAAAGAUUAUUUGGGGAUUCUAUUGUAGGUUAUCAAUGGUGAUUUCAGUCUCUCGAAAGGGGCACAUGAAGACAGUAUCCGGAGGAGAAGUGGAUGCAACCAAACAUGAGGGUAAUCCAAGUCCGAGCAUAACAUCACCAGUUUUGUGCCCAACACCGGCAACGAGCUCAUCAUGUUCGACUUCAGUUGUCCCUUACCGUGUCCCGGACAGGCUCUCCACCCCAAGGUAUAGAGUGAUUCUUACAUAAAGUGCUCCUUCCGUAUUUUUGAUUAGCAGUACAUGUCUGACAAGAUAGGCAAAUGGCAUGGUACAACAAGCUAUAGAUAGAGAGAUUACUGACAUGGGAUGAUGGUGCACCCAUUUCGAUAUAUACAUUAUUUUCCAACUUCUUUCCUUUAUGCAUAAAAUAAUAUUUGUGAGCUGACAUUUGACGAUGUCAAAGCCUACACGAUACUGCAUUUUGGUGAACUAUGCUGUUUAACAAUCUGCAGCGUUAGAUUUAGUUUAACUAUUUUCACCCUGUUAGAAGCUCAAUAUUGUGACUGCCAACAAGACCAACUAAACCAGUUGAUUUUUUCUGUAUUAGACAUAGUCUUUCAAGCUAAGGCAUCAGGUUAUAGUCGUUCAAUCGGCUCAGUAGCUCGGUAUUGUAACUAACAAUCUGACCAACUUUGUUUGUAGACCAGUGAUUUUUUCCUGCUAGACAUACAAUUUCAGGCUAAGGCGUCAAGGUACAGUCGCUUAUUUGCAUUGGUUAAUUAUAUUAAGAUGGAAGAUUACGAACUUGAUUUUGAAUUGUUCAAUGGGAUCUCCGGUGCCCAACUCUUAUCUCCUGUCUAUGUAGCUCCUCUGUUUUUCUUGUGCUUCUUCUAGUGUUAGGGUUAACUUUUGGUUUUCCUUUUAUGCUCUCUGUGAAGACAAUUGUAAUCAUCUCAAUCUUGUAUUCUGUUUACUGC